UAAGGAGACCAUGCUAUGGAAUAGAUCGCGUUCUGUCAAUUCAGAGGACAGGAAUGAUCUGCAGCUGCAUUUGAACAUAUUUGGUGACUACAUCUCAAAGAUGACCAAGAGAGAGGAUCGAGCUAUGACUUUGCACAUCCCAUCGACUUCGGUGUUCACCAGUGCAAUCAUCAGAAGAGCCAGGCAAUUCUAGUAUUCAAGUAUUUCAUUCUGUAAUACUUACCUCAAAAUUUACUAAAUAAAGAAAACCGCAUGUGGCAGUUGGUUAAAAAAAUCAA